AUUCUUAAUUAUUUAAAAUAAUAGAAAAAAGUUUUAAAAAUUACUAAUAAUUUACUUAAAGUAAUAAAUUUUGUCGUAUAACACGUCAACUCGACAUUGUAGUUUUGGGUCUUCAUAGUAGCAAAAUCUGCACGACAACCCGCGCCAAUUGUCCUUUUAGUCCAUAUAAAUAUUAUAAAUGCGAAAGUAACUCUGUCUGUCUGUUACUCUUUCACGCCUAAACGGCUGAACGGAUUUUGAUGAAAUUUGGUAUGGUGAUGGAUGAUAACCUAGAAAUGGUCAUAGCCUAUACAUAAUCACGCCGUCGUUCUUAGGUAGUAGGCAGUAGGCAGAUAACUAAAUUGAGUUAGUGAUUUUUAGUCGAUUUUGUUGGGACUUUUGCUUUUUCACGUCGAAACGGCUGAACGGAUUUUGAUGAAAUUUAGCAAAAUCAUCACGUCAUCGUACUUAGGGGGUAGGAAGUAGGCAGAAAACUGAAUUGAGUUAGUGAUUUUUUAUGGUUUUUGCAGGGAGUUUUGCUCUAUAAUGCCUAAACGGCUGAACGGAUUUUGAUGAAAUUUAGUUAGGAGAUAGAUGGUACUUAGUUACAUUUUUUAUUAUUAGGUAGUUAAGGUAGCUGUUAGAUGUAGGUAUUUUCUUAACCAAUCAUUCAUAUCUCUAGGUUUACUGAGAUACGUAUUAUUCUUUAUUUUUGCAGUCGCUUUCAUUUGUUAAUUCUCAAUUCAUGUGCAUGUUCAUAUGUAUGUAGCAUAUUGUUUAUGCUACUUGGUAUGGUAUUGUUUUCAAGUGCGAUCUUAGACAGACUUUGCCGGUUAUCACUAAAGGCACCCCUGCAGAAGAAAUAAAUGCGUGUUUAAAAGCGUCAACGUUAUGGGUGCACGUAAAAACGUUUAGUCUGUCUACAAAUAUGAGAGGACAGCUACACAGAGAUGUACAAUCUGGACAAUAUGCUGCUGCUCUUCUUAAAAUUGGAGAAGAUCGUAUGGCAAAGGAUGGUAAUGGCAUGAUUACAUUAGAUCGUGUAUUUUGCAAUGUUGUGCAUAAUCCAGAUGAUCUAAAUAACUUCGUCUAUAGCGAAAUGCUAACUAAUAUGAGGAAUAGAGAAUGGUUAUGUGAAAGAGCAAUUUUAGCGCCGACGAAUGAAAUAGUGGGACAGAUAAACGAGCAAAUUAUGUCACGCGUGGGAGGUGAUAUUGUUGAGUUUUUGUCUGUAGACACUGUAAUGGAUACUGAACAAGUAACAUCAUACCCUGUAGAAUUUCUUAAUUCUUUAGAACUGUCGGGAGUACCUUCACACAAUCUGAGGCUGAAAGUAUGCGUUCCUAUCCUUUUGAUGUGAAAUUUAGAUGCCCCAAGACUGUGUAUUGGCACACGGUUGCAAGUAACACACCUCGGUCGCAAUAUUGUAAAAGAAUGAUUGGAUUGGCAAAAGGAGAGAAUGUUAAUUCUGACAGAUUUGCCAUUCAAGUUUAAGAGAUUACAGUUUCCGCUGAAAAUCGCAUUCGCUAUGACGAUAAAUAAAGCUCAGGGGCAAACAUUAAAAGUAGCCAGCAAUAAUUUAGAACAGAGUUGUUUUACUCACGGACAAUUAUACGUGGCUUGCUCACGUAUUUCAAGUUCACAGAAUCGGGGGUUGGCAGAUAGUUAGUAGUAUUUUAAACCGAUUUACAUUAUCUACUUUCUAUAUUUACUAAGGAAACAUUCGGAGCUAUCCAUUAUGUACUUAGGUUGCUUUUGAAGAGAUUUUGAUGUGAAGUUGAGGACCGGAACACGAUAGUUGGACAUUGUUUCAGGGGGACUUACAGCCGGGAGAAAACGAAACGAAACGUAUGCGGACGAAGCCGCGGGUAAAAGCUAGUAGUAUAUAACGACCGAAACCAUCGCGGAGUGUCUUGCGUUUCCCUUCAUUCUAUUGCAUUCUUACCGCAAUUUCAUUGUAUGUAUUUCAGAUAAUCUACUUGUACGUUUCUACACACAUUUAUUUUGCGUCAAAAGUAUUUACACACCGCGAUUAAGCCUUCUUUCUUGGCUUUGGUUGAAUCAAGAGUAGUGAUUGGCUUCUAUCGCAUACAUAACUUACUAACAAAGAAUUAAAAUAUAAAACUUGGUAAAUAAAAUGCCAAAAACAAAUGAAUUAUCGAUUAUAACUAGAUCGGAGACUGUUAUUAAGUUUAAGACUGGUGUUUCGGCUUCGGAGUUAGUAAAAGGUUAUAGAUAUUAAAGGAAUACUGUUUAUAAUGUUAUUAAAAAGAUGGAGACGAAAUAGUUCAAGGAUAAUUUAAAGAGAACUGGGCAGAAACCUGUGAUAACUCAAAGAUAAUGUAGAAGAUUAGUUGGAACUGCCAUACAAAAUCCCACAAUUAGUUCUCUGAAUAUUGCACAACCAUCGAAUCAGCAUAUUGCAUGAACAGUUACACAGUUAAUGAUGUUACACUGUGCAUAAAGUGGUCAAUAUUUCCGAAACCAAAAAAGCUAUCUGGUUUUCAUCAGAUAAAGGCUAAAUUUUAGUUCCAGGGCUUCUUUAGUAAACGCUUUAUGCAUUUACCACGUCACAUGACCAUGGCAUUAUAGUGGUUUUCCAAAUAUAGACAAGUUUUUCAUGAAGGAUCUCUACCUACAAAAGUUUUAAAUGAAGUAAAUCAAGUUGACCUCCGCACAGCCCUGACCAAAACUUUAGUUAAAAUGUUUGGUCUAUCGUUAAAUAUCAAAGUACAAUUUAUAUAAUAACCGAAAACGCCGAAAUUACCGACAUUCGGUCUAAAUUAACAGUUAACUUAGCGUACAAUAGUGUUGAAUCAAUUCGGACCAUAAAGCAGGCUGUUAUCGAUGCCAAAGACGAUGUAACCAAUUAUGAAUUUACCGCCUUGGAAUAAUAACUAAGAAUAAAAAUUAAAAUUAAAAAAAUGCAUUAAAAAAUAACAGGAUAAACAGAGUUCAAGUUGUGUGUAAAUACUUUUGACGCAAAAAAAAAUUGUAAAUACUUUUGACUAUUUAAGGUUUACAACAACAUAGCAUUUUGUUACCCUGCGACAACACAACAAUUAAUAGCUUUUUCUGUGAAAUUUGAUGUGUAAAUAAUUUUAACUACCUCUAUAUAGUAUGUGAUAGCUGAGGUAACUUCUGAACUGAUUUCACUCAUUUUCACCACCCAGGUACAUAAUAUCACUUAAUUUAAUAUUUCACAUAUUAACCGAUUUAUAAGGUAUUAAGCCCAUCAUAGUUUUGAAAAACCCAUAAUUAGGUAUAUGGGAGCUAGGGUAAGUUAUGGCCCGUUUUUAAUAAAUUUUGCCACAGAAACAUACUAUUAGAAGAAAAAGAUACCCUCCAAAUUACAUUAAAAUAUCUAAAAGAUUUGCCGAUAUUUUCGGUAAAAAUUACCCUUAGGCACUGAGUUUUUCAUGUUCGAUGUCCGGGACAUUGAAAAGUUAAAGUCAAUUGACAAUUUUUCCACAAGUAGUGUCACAGCUCAAAUACAGUAGUAGUAAUUUUUAUUCCGGUAACAUCACUGGUUCCUAAUUUAAAUGUAUAUAAAGUGAAGGAAUCAGAUGGAAUUCAAAUUUGAUUAUAUGAGAAUUGAUUAUCGAAGUAGGCGUGAUAGUGACUCGAUUUCGCCCGUCCAUGUCAUCAGGAUGUUAGGAAAAUAGUAUAUACCGAAUUUUAUUCAAAUCGGUCGAGUAGUUCCUGAGAUAUGGUUUUUAGCCCAUAAGUGGGCGACGCCACGGCCAUUUUCCAUUUUGUAAAAAAUCUGAGUGUCUCCUUUUUCUAUUUCUUCUGUAAAAUUUAGUGUUUCUGGAGUUUUCCGUUAGUGAGUAAACGCACUUUUAGUCAUUUUCAACCUAACCUUUGUAUGGGAGGUGGGCGUGGUUAUUAUCUGAUUUCACCAAUUUUUAUGGUGUGUAAUAGGAUACGUAAGGCAAGUGGCUGCUGUACGUUUGGUGUAUAUAGCUUUAUGGGCUUGCGAGAUAUAUACAAAAAAACCUGACCAAAAAAAUUAUAUCCAAAUUUGCCCCUUCAUAGUGCGAUCCUUUAUUCGAAAUUUGAUUUUUAUAAACUUAUUUAUGGCUUAGUUAUGACAUUUUAUAGGUUUUCGGUUUUCGCCAUUUUGUGGGUGUGGAAAUGGCCCGAUUUCACCCAGUUUCAAUACCAAACUCCUCAGGGUGCCAAGAAAUAUGUUUACCAAGUUUCAUUAAGAUAUCUCAAUUUUUACUUAAGCUAUCGCAAACAGUAUGAAAACUUAUUCAACCAUUAUAUUUUUAAUUGACGUUCAACAUGGGGUAUAAGUAAUAAAAUGCCAAAGUUGCCAGAGUCGCUCUGAACAGCAAGGACACCCUAAUACUAGCCACUAGAGCAUGAAUUUAUGUAAACGAAGUAUACAGUAAUCCCCGCUUAAGUGCCCCUUCUUAACAUGCAAGAAUUUUGAGACAUUGAAGUGUGAAAUAAGAAAUUACAAAAUUCCUCUCUUGAUAAUCCGAGAUUUUAAAAUUAUCUCGUUUUAUACAACUAGAUUUUCGGUGUUAUUCCUAUUUUUAUCGAUAAUUUUUGCGAAGAAGAGGAGAAAUGUCAAAUGAAAAUGUAAACCAAAAUGGCCGACAGCGUGGAAAAGAGGUUUGUAAAUAUACUUAAAAUAAAACAUUAAUUUACAAUAUAUUUAAAUCUAUAAAUUUUUCAGAAAGAAGAUCCAAGUGGAACAAAGUAGAAGUUGAACUUCUCCUGAGCUUGUCGACGUAAAAAUUUCCACAAUUACGAGUUAAACGAAAUUCUCAUGUCUAUAAAGACAUGUCUAUGGAAAUGGCCGCCAAAGGUUUUAUAUAUUUCGCGAAUGAAAUUCGUGUGAAAAUACACAAUUUAACAAAUAAAUACAGAGAUGAGAAGAAAAUUGUUGGUCCCUCUGGUGGCAGCCCUUCGACUAUUAUACUAAAAUUAAUGGCAUUCUCGGCAGCUAUAAAAGUAUAAAUUUAGAAACAUUGGUGGAAGAGAGCACAGUUUACGAAUCUGUGGAGUGUGCGCUCUCCCCGAAUAACUCUGCCAUAGAUUCGCAAGAAGAAUUUCCGCCUUCAGUCGAGGAACCUGUAAAGAAAAAGAAAAAGACAAAUGCAUCAGUUAGCAUUCAAUAUGAGUUUUUGGAGGUAUUCGAGGCUUCGAAUACCAAAUUACAGGCAGAAAUUGAAGCAAUUAAGGAGGAUGGCAGGGAGGCCAUGCAAAUUGAAAAAGAGAGAAAUUCCAUCCUAGAAAACUUUGUGGAAGUUUUUAAACAAAGCAUAUAAUCAAAUAAUUCGCGGAAAUAUACAAAGCUUUGUGUGGCCAUUUUCACCGACAUGUCUUUAAGCACAUGCGAAUUCCGUUUUACUCCUCGCAGCUGUAUCAAUUUUUCUUCUUUCUAGUCCAGGAAAAGUUCAACUUCUUUCUUCUUAAUUUUAUGUUUUAAAUGUUUAAUUGUUUUUCUAAUGUAUUAUUUGGUUUGGUAAAUGAUUUACGAGGGCUGCUAUAUAUAUUUCUGGCCUAGGCAAAACUAAGUGUUGUGUAAGGUGCAAUCUGACAUUUCCAUUGGAAAGUUUGACAUUUUUUAGCAUAACAUCACUCAGAACGUUUUGUCAUUUAAUCGUGAAUUGUUUUAUUUACAGGGAAUUAAAAAAUUAAUCUCGGCCAAAAAAUGGAAUUAACUCGUGAACAGUUUCGUGCGAUCAUUUUUCACAACUUUCGACAUGGAUUAUCGCGACAAGAGUGCAUCGAUGAACUAAAAUCUUUGUAUGGCUAUGAAGCACCAUCCUAUAGCACUGUGAAAACUGGUACAACGAAUUCAAUCGUGGCCGACACUCGCUCAAAGACGAAUUCCGUGAAUGUCGUCUAAAAACAGCCGUUGUGCUAGAAAACAUCGAUGCCGUACGUGAACUGAUAAUGCAAGACCGUCAUGUAACAUACCUUCAGAUAGGGGCAUGCCUAUGCAUUUCUCCCACCAGCAUACAUUCGAUAUUGCAUGAACACCUGGCCGUAAAAAAGGUUUGUUCUCGUUGGAUUCCGCACAAUUUGACAAUCGCUCAAAAAAAGUGCUUCGAAAAUUGGUUUGAGUGCAUGCAAAAGUGUAAAAAUCUUGUUGGGCAAUAUUUUGAAAAGCAAUAAAACCAUUUUCGUUAAAUAUUCCUAUUUUCCUUAUUAGGCCAGAAAUAUAUAUAGCAGCCCUCGAACUAUUGUUUUGUUAAUAAUUGAUUAACUAAUUUUGCUUCGUUAUUGUGUCUCAAUAUGUGAUAUAAAAAUG